AGUGGCAGACGGGUGAGUAACACGUGGGAAUCUUCCUAUCGGUACGGAAUAGCUCAGGGAAACUUGGGGUAAUACCGCAUACGCCCUUCGGGGGAAAGAUUUAUCGCCGAUAGAUGAGCCCGCGUCUGAUUAGCUAGUUGGUGAGGUAAUGGCUCACCAAGGCGACGAUCAGUAGCUGGUCUGAGAGGAUGACCAGCCACACUGGGACUGAGACACGGCCCAG
rnacentral:rRNA from 1 species